AGUGAACGCUGGCGGCGUGCCUAAUACAUGUAAGUCGAACGGAGUGGCGCACGGGUGAGUAAUAUAUAGCUAACUUGCCCAUUACUAAGGGACAACUGUUGGAAACGACUGCUAAUACCUUAUAGUAAUGGAUAAGGCUAUAUCGUAUCAGCUAGUUGGUAAGGUAACGGCUGACCAAGUCUAUGACGCGUAACUGGUCUGAGAGGAUGAUUAGUCACACGGGAAAUGAGACACGGUCCAGAGUCCUGCGGGAGGCAUCAGUAGGGAAUAAUGCUGAAUGGGGGAAACCCUGAAGCAGCAACGCCGCGUGGGGGUUGACACUUUUCGGAGCGUAAACUCCUGGUCUUGGGAAAGCGGUACCCAAGGAAUAAGCACCGGCUAACUCCGUGCCAGCCGCCGCGGUAAUAC
rnacentral:rRNA from 1 species